AUGACCCCAGUUCAGGCGGGAUUACCCGCUGAGUUUAAGUAUAUCAAUAAGCAAAGGAAAAGAAUCUUACAAGGAUUACCUUAGUAACGAUGAGCAAAUCGGGAACAACCCUGCCUUAGAAUUGGGUGGCUCCGUCAUCCGAAUUGUAGUCUGGAGAAGUGUCCUAAGUGGCGGACCGGGCCCAAGUCCCCUGAAAGAGGGUGCCAAAGAGAGUGAAAGCCCCAUUAUGCCCGGACCUUAUCACACUACAAGGCACUGUCUACGAGUUAGCAUUUUGGGAAUGCAACCCAAAUCGGGUAGUGAAUUCCAGUCAAGGCUAAAUAUGGGCGAGAGACCGAUAGCGAACAAGUACCGUGAGGGAAAGAUGUAGAGUACUUUAAAAAGAGAGUUAAAGAGUGCAUAUAAUUAUUGAUAGAAAAGUGGAUGGGGGCCGAUGAUACGCCCCAAUUAGAUAUGGAAUAGCGACGAGCCGGUCCACAUAUCACCUUGGGGCGUGGAUCAUUGUGGAUUAGGGGACGGCCAAAGCCUGAGCUGUUGAUACACUAGUCGAAUGAUGACUCCACAAUUAUGGUAGGAAUCGCACAUCUCUGGCGUGCUUUGGCAUCUACGCACUCCGAACGCUGACCUGUGGGCUCCACAUUCAACCCAUCUUGAAAUACAAAUCAAGGAGUCAAACAUGUGUGGGAGUCAACAGGUGAGUAAACCUGUAAGGGGUAAGAAUGGUGAUCGGUGAGAUCUCCCUAAGGGGUGCACCGCUGACCGACCUUAAUCUUCUGAUAAGGGUUUGAGUGUGAGCGUACCUAUCGGGAGCCAAAAGAUGGUGAACUAUGCCUGAGCGAUGUAAAACUAGAGAAAACUCUGGUGGAGGCCCAUAGCGAUACAAACGUUCAAAUUAUUCUUCUGACUUGGGUAUAGGGGAGAAAUACUAAUCGAACCAUCUAGUAGUUGGUUUCCUUUGAAGUUUCCCUCCGGAUAUCUUGAGCUCGCGUGUGAACUUCUAUUGGGUAAAGACAAUAAUUAGAGGCCUCAAAGGAGGAAUUCCCUCGAACUAUUCUCGAACAUUAAAUAGGUAGGAUGAUGAAGCUGAUUUGUUGAGCCGCACCACGGAAUCAAGAGCUCCAAGUGGGCAAUUUUUGUUAAGCAAAACUGGCGAUGCGGGAUGAACUGGAACACAAGUUAUGGUGCCAAAAUGUGCGCUAACCUAGAUGCCACAAAGGGCAUUGUUCGUUUAAGACAACAAGGCGAUGGUCAUGGAAAUCAAAAUCCAUUUAGGAGUGUUUAACAACUCACCUGCCGAAUCAACUAGCUCCGAAAAUAUAUGGCACUUAAGCAUGUGACCUACACCCAGCCGUCAUGGCAAAUGCCAUGCCCCGAUGAUUUGGAGGGCGCGACGGACACUAAAAAACCUUUGGUGUGAGCCCAUGUGAAGCAGCCAUCGGUGAAGAUCUUAGUGGUAGUAAAAAAUAUUCAAAUGAGAACUUUUAAGGCCGAAGAAGGGAAAGGUUCCAUAUGUACAACACUUGCAUAUGGGUUAGUCAAUCCUAAGGGUUAGGGGAACCCCGACAGAUAGCGCAUUUCAUGCAUACUCCAAAAGGGAAUUAGGUUAAAAUCUUGACCAGGGACCUGGUGGUCUACGACAAUAUUAUGAAGUUUGGAAACAUCGAUGGGAGCCUUGAGAAGAGUUAUCUUUCUUAUUUAACAGCCUUCCCACCCUAAAAUCAACUUGGUUCGAGGUUAGAUCCAGCGGUUGGAAGAGUAACGCAUGUUGCAUGAUAUUCGGUGCACUCCUGGUGGCCCUUGAAAAUUUGUAGGACCGAAUGUCAUCCAUGCCCAGUCGUACUCAAAACCGUAUCAGGUCUCUAAGGUGAACAACCUCUGGUCGAUGGAACAAUGUAGGCAAGGGAAGUUGGUAAAAUGUCUCUAUAACUUUGGGAAAUAGAUUGGCUCUACGGGCUGUGCACGGGAGUCCCAGUCCCGAACCCAUCGACUGUAGGUGGACUGCUCAACCUUUUCUCUCAGUGAGAGCAGGUCGCUCCAUGCCGGUCGGGGGAUGGACUGGGAAUAGUUCCUUUUGGGGCCUUCCCUGCAUAUCAAACGACCAACUCAGAACUGGUACGGACAAUGGUAAUUUGACUGUUUAAUAAAAAUAAAGCAUUGUGAUGGUCCCAACAGAUGUUCACACAAUGUGAUUUUUACCCAGUGCCCUGAAUAUCAAAGUGAAGAAAUUUAACCAAGCGUGGUUAAAUGGAGGGAGUAACUAUGGCUCUCUUACGGUAGCCAAAUGCCUCAUCAUAUAAUUAGUGACACACAUGAAUGGAUUAACGAGAUUCCCUCUAUCCCCGUCUGCUAUCUAGCGAAACCACAGCCAAGGAAAUGGGCUUGGCAGAAUUACGGAGAAAGAAGACCCUAUUGAACUUGAAUCUAAUCAGACUUUGUUAAAUGACAUGAGAGGUGUAGUAUAAGUGGGAGAUGAAAGGCAAAAGUGAAAUACCACUACUUUUAACGUUAUUUUACUUAUCCCGUGAAUCGAAAGUGGGGUGAUGCCCCUCUUUUUGGAACCAAGGCUCACUAUACGGGUCAAGCUGGGCAGAAGAGAUUGUCAUGUGGUGAUUUUGGCUAGGGUGGCAUAUCUGUUAAAAGAUAAAACAGGUUUCCUAAGAUAAGCUGAAUGAGAACAGAAAUCUCUUGUCGAAUAGAAGGGUAAAAACUCAUUUGAUAUUGAUUUGUAGUACGAUUAAGAACCAUGAAAUCAUGGCCUCACAAUCCUUUAGACCUUUGGAAUUUGAAGCUAGAGGUGUCAGAAAAGUUACAACAGAGAUAAUUGGCUUGUAGCAGCCAAGCGUUUAUAGCGACGUUGAUUUUUUAUCGUUCAUUCCCGGCUCUUCCUAUUAUUGUGAAGUAGAAUUCACCAAGUGUUGGAUUAUUCACCCUAAAAUAGGGAACGUGAGCUAGGUUUAGACCAUCGUGAGACAUUUUAGAUUUAUCCUACUAAUGAUACUAUCGCAAUAAUAAUUCAACCUAGUACGAGAGGAACUUUUGAUUCACACAAUUGGUCAUCGUGCUUGGAUGAAAAUCUAGUGGUGAGAAGCUACCCUGUGUUAGAUUAUGACUAAAUUCCUCUAAGUUAAAAUUUUCUCUAUAAGAGAUAGAUGCACCCAUCGUCCUCUUGUCGACCCUCAGUAGGGGCCUCAUCUCCUAAGGGCAUGUGUCGUUUGCUAAGCCAUCGGAAUGGAAGGGUCUCGGUAGACUCAUUGAAGUACAAUUUCCAUUGAGCGGUAGGUAGAAUCCUUUGUAGAUGACUUAAAUAUGCGAUGGGGCAUUAUAAGUGGAAGAGUGGCAUUGUUGCCACGAUCCCCUGAGAUUCAGCCCUUUGUCACUCUGGUUCCU
rnacentral:rRNA from 1 species